UACGGAGGGUGCGAGCGUUGUCCGGAAUCACUGGGCGUAAAGGGUGCGUAGGCGGGUCUUUAAGUCAGGGGUGAAAUCCUGGAGCUCAACUCCAGAACUGCCUUUGAUACUGAAGAUCUUGAGUUCGGGAGAGGUGAGUGGAACUGCGAGUGUAGAGGUGAAAUUCGUAGAUAUUCGCAAGAACACCAGUGGCGAAGGCGGCUCACUGGCCCGGUACUGACGCUGAGGUGCGAAAGCGUGGGGAGCAAACAGG
rnacentral:rRNA from 1 species